UUUUUAAGAAGGUGUCUAGGGAUGUAUGUGU
rnacentral:piRNA from 1 species